AUUGAACGCUGGCGGCAUGCUUUACACAUGCAAGUCGAACGGCAGCGGGGAGGAGCUAGCUUCUCUGCCGGCGAGUGGCGAACGGGUGAGUAAUACAUCGGAACGUGUCGAGAAGAGGGGGAUAACCACCCGAAAGGGUGGCUAAUACCGCAUAAAUUCUGAGGAAGAAAGCUGGGGACCUAGGAAUAGGCCUAGCGCUUUUUGAGCGGCCGAUGUCGGAUUAGCUAGUUGGUGAGGUAAAGGCUCACCAAGGCGAAGAUCUGUAGCGGGUCUGAGAGGAUGAUCCGCCACACUGGGACUGAGACACGGCCCAGACUCCUACGGGAGGCAGCAGUGGGGAAUUUUGGACAAUGGGGGCAACCCUGAUCCAGCCAUGCCGCGUGUAUGAAGAAGGCCUUAGGGUUGUAAAGUACUUUUGUUAGGGAAGAAAAGUCAGCUGUGAAUAAUGGCUGAUACUGACGGUACCUAAAGAAUAAGCACCGGCUAACUACGUG
rnacentral:rRNA from 1 species